AACGCGAAGAACCUUACCGUCUUGACAUAUCUAGAAUCGUGCAGAGAUGCGGGAGUGCCUUCGGGAAUUAGAAUACAGGUGCUGCAUGGCUGUCGUCAGCUCGUGUCGUGAGAUGUUGGGUUAAGUCCCGCAACGAGCGCAACCCUUGUCCUUAGUUACCACCGGGUUAAGCCGGGAACUCUAAGGAUACUGCCAGUGACAAACUGGAGGAAGGGGGGGACGACCUCAAGUCAUCAUGGCCCUUACGACCAGGGCUCCCACGUGCUACAAUGGUAGGUACAGAGGGCAGCUACACAGCGAUGUGAGGCAAAUCUCAAAAAGCCUUUCUAGUCCAGAUUGGAGUCUGCAACUCGACUCCAUGAAGUAGGAAUCGCUAAUAAUCGCGGAUCAGAAUGCCACGGUGAAUACGUUCCCUGGGUCUUGUACACACCG
rnacentral:rRNA from 1 species